UACGUAGGUGGCAAGCGUUGUUCGGAAUUACUGGGCGUAAAGCGCGCGUAGGCGGCUCUUCAAGUCAGGCGUGAAAGCCCCGGGCUUAACUCGGGAACUGCGCUUGAUACUGUCGAGCUAGAGUGUGGAAGGGGCGAUUGGAAUUCCGUGUGUAGCGGUGAAAAUGCGUAGAUAUACGGAGGAACACCAGGGGCGAAGGCGGAUCGCUGGGCCAACACUGACGCUGAUGUGCGAAAGCUAGGGGAGCAAACGGG
rnacentral:rRNA from 1 species